GCCGGGUGUGGUGGUGCAUGCCUGUAAUCCCAGCUACUCAGGAGGCUGAGGCAGGAGAAUCGCUUGAACCCGGGAGGCGGAGGCUGCAGUGAGCCAAGAUCGUGCCACUGCACUCCAGCCUGGGCAACAGAGCAAGACUCUGUCUCCA
rnacentral:SRP_RNA from 1 species